rnacentral:rRNA from 1 species
UACGUAGGGUGCGAGCGUUGUUCGGAAUUACUGGGCGUAAAGGGCUCGUAGGCGGCCAACUAAGUCGGAUGUGAAAUCCCCAGGCUCAACUUGGGAACUGCAUCCGAUACUGGAUGGCUUGAAUUCGGGAGAGGGAUGCAGAACUCCAGGUGUAGCGGUGAAAUGCGUAGAUAUCUGGAGGAAUACCGGUGGCGAAGGCGGCAUCCUGGACCGACAUUGACGCUGAGGAGCGAAAGCUAGGGGAGCAAACGGG